AUCCACGGCCAUAGGACUCUGAAAGCACUGCAUCCAACGCGACAUCUUGCGUGCAUGGAUGUGUUGCCCGUCCGAUCUGCAAAGUUAAUCAGAGUGCCGCCCAGUUAGUACCACGGUGGGGGACCACGCGGGAAUCCUGGGUGCUGUGGUUU
rnacentral:rRNA from 1 species